rnacentral:rRNA from 1 species
GACGAACGCUGGCGGCGUGCUUAACACAUGCAAGUCGAACGGAAAGGCCCUGCUUUUGUUGGGUGCUCGAGUGGCGAACGGGUGAGUAACACGUGAGUAACCUGCCCUUGAAUGUGGGAUAACUUCAGGAAACUGGGGCUCAUAUCGCAUAGGAGCUCCUGCUGCAUGGUGUGGGUUGGAAAGUUUCGGCGGUUGGGGUUGGACUCGCGGCUUAGGAGCUGGUUGGUGGGGUAGUGGAGUACCAAGGCUUUGACGGGUAGCCGGCCUGAGAGGGUGACCGGCCCCAGUGGGCCUGGGAUGCGGCCAGGAGGGCUACGGGAGGCAGGGGUGGGGAAUAGAGGACACAGGGCGGAGGGCGGGUGGAGCAACUCCGCGUGGUGGAUGACGGCUUUCGGGGUGGAAACCGCUUUCGCGUGUGACGAAGCGUGAGGGACGUUAAUGGGUAAAGAAGCACCGCUUACUUACGU